rnacentral:tRNA from 1 species
GUUAUAGUAGCCUAACGGAUAAAGCAGCAGCCUUCUAAGCUGGAGAUUGUAGGUUCGAAUCCUACCUAUGACG